UACUGAAUCAUAGAAUUUUUAAAAAUUCAUGAUGUCGUAAGGGAAAAUAAUGAUAAUACCUUACUAUGAGUGUUGUCCAAAUCUGGUGCCAGAAGACUCGGUAAGACCAGAAACGCAAACGUUAAUCAUCAUAAACAGGCGUAAAGGGUUUGUAGGCAGCUUUUAUCAGAUUAUGAAUUCAAAAUAAAGUAGUCUAAUUAAAAGCUAGAAUCAAAAAGAGGUUAUAGUGUAUAACGCCUAGAGGAGGGCUGAUAUCCGUAGAUCCUAGGCAGAAUACUAAGGGCGAAGGCCACUUUCCAUUAAUGAUUGACGCUGAGAAACGAAGGUUAGGGUAGGAAAUAGGAUUAGAUACCCCGGUACUCCUUUCUGUAAACGAUGAAUGGUAGUCAUUAGUUUAAAUAUUCAAAAAUAACUAGAGGCGAAGUUAACACAAUAACCAUUCCGCCUUGUGAGUACUACUGCAAAGUAGAAAACAAAAAAAUUAGUCGGUCUCGAAGCAAACGGAGUGAAGCAUGUUAUUUAAU
rnacentral:rRNA from 1 species